GACUACUGGCUUGUGUCUCCUUUCUUUCUCAGUUUGUUUUCUUCUAUACCCCAGGACCACCUGCCCAGGCAUGGUGCCAUCCGCAGUGGGCCAGGGCCUCCCACAACAAUCACUUAUCAAGAAAAUGUCCCCAAGGACUUGCCUAUGGCCCAAUCUAAUGAACACAUUUUCUCUACUGAUGUACCUUGUUACCAGAUGAGCCUGGCUUGUGUCAAAUGGCAGAACAAACCAACCCCAAAACAAAAGCCCUAACCAGCACGAUAAGCAAACCCUCAAUUGUUUUUCAUGGUGAUUGCAUCAUUUUACAUGGCAUCAUUUGUGUGGAGAGUUCUGUAUAGACCCUGGAUCUCACUUCGGUCAUCUGUUGGAUCCUAGCUUGAAUUUGCAUCUCCACGACCAAUGAUGGUGUCAGUAAACGUUGUAGCUUGUGUCAAAUACAUGUAUAUUCCGUCUUCGAGCAUGUACGAUAGACGGAGUUCUCGCCCUGCAUCAAACAUGCUCACCUUCGCAACUGGAGACCACACAGAAAAUCACAACUGGACAAAUGCGGAGAACAAGUGAUCGUGGGACAUCUAAUUUCACUGGGACAUCUGUGCUAUAAUACCUCCACCUAAAUAAAGCUCAGGGCACAUUCGGGAAGAGGAGGGGCUGGAAAGCUGCUGUGGGAAAUGACAGGGAAGCGCCACCUCAACAAGAUGGCUGUCUAACCAGUACCUGAAGCAGUAGAACACUAGUAGACGUGUAAACACGAAAGGAGGACGUCUCACCGGACCCUCUCCAUGGACAAGGCACUAUGAAAAACUGGGGGAUGCCGGGAUUGAGAGAAAUAGUCUUCCCGGGGGGAAGAGGCCAUGAUUUUGGGAGGGAGCCAGGAGGAGUACAUGGGAGUGAUUGGCAAGGAGAAAGGGGACAGGAAAAAUGAUGUAAUUCCAGAUAUAGUUUAAAGAUUUAUUUACUUUAUGUAUACGAGUGCUCUAUCUGCAUG